AGAGUUUGAUCCUGGCUCAGGAUGAACGCUAGCUACAGGCUUAACACAUGCAAGUCGAGGGGCAUCAGUUUGGUUUGCUUGCAAACCAAAGCUGGCGACCGGCGCACGGGUGAGUAACACGUAUCCAACCUGCCUCAUACUCGGGGAUAGCCUUUCGAAAGAAAGAUUAAUAUCCGAUAGCAUAUAUUUCCCGCAUGGGUUUUAUAUUAAAGAAAUUCGGUAUGAGAUGGGGAUGCGUUCCAUUAGUUUGUUGGGGGGGUAACGGCCCACCAAGACUACGAUGGAUAGGGGUUCUGAGAGGAAGGUCCCCCACAUUGGAACUGAGACACGGUCCAAACUCCUACGGGAGGCAGCAGUGAGGAAUAUUGGUCAAUGGACGCGAGUCUGAACCAGCCAAGUAGCGUGAAGGAUGACUGCCCUAUGGGUUGUAAACUUCUUUUAUAUGGGAAUAAAGUGGUCCACGUGUGGACUUUUGUAUGUACCAUAUGAAUAAGGAUCGGCUAACUCCGUGCCAGCAGCCGCGGUAAUACGGAGGAUCCGAGCGUUAUCCGGAUUUAUUGGGUUUAAAGGGAGCGUAGGCGGAUUGUUAAGUCAGUUGUGAAAGUUUGCGGCUCAACCGUAAAAUUGCAGUUGAUACUGGCAGUCUUGAGUGCAGUAGAGGUGGGCGGAAUUCGUGGUGUAGCGGUGAAAUGCUUAGAUAUCACGAAGAACUCCGAUUGCGAAGGCAGCUCACUGGAGUGUAACUGACGCUGAUGCUCGAAAGUGUGGGUAUCAAACAGGAUUAGAUACCCUGGUAGUCCACACAGUAAACGAUGAAUACUCGCUGUUUGCGAUAUACAGUAAGCGGCCAAGCGAAAGCGUUAAGUAUUCCACCUGGGGAGUACGCCGGCAACGGUGAAACUCAAAGGAAUUGACGGGGGCCCGCACAAGCAGUGGAGUAUGUGGUUUAAUUCGAAGCAACGCGAAGAACCUUACCAGGUCUUGACAUCCGAUGCAUAGCUUAGAGAUAAGUGAAGUCCUUCGGGACAUCGAGACAGGUGGUGCAUGGUUGUCGUCAGCUCGUGUCGUGAGAUGUUGGGUUAAGUCCCGCAACGAGUGCAACCCUUAUUGCCAGUUACUACGAAAGAGGACUCUGGCGAGACUGCCGUUGACAAAACGGAGGAAGGUGGGGAUGACGUCAAAUCAUCAUGCCCUUUAUGACCUGGGCUACACACGUAAUACAAUGGCCGUUAACAACGGGAGGCAAAACCGCGAGGUAGAGCAAAACCCUAAAAACGGUCCCAGUUCGGAUCGCAGGCUGCAACCCGCCUGCGUGAAGUUGGAAUUGCUAGUAAUCGCGGAUCAGCAUGCCGCGGUGAAUACGUUCCCGGGCCUUGCACUCACCGCCCGUCAAG
rnacentral:rRNA from 1 species